CGAAUGGGCUCCAUGACAUAGCUAUCUGGGGUAUCACCGCUCAAACAGGGCAAGCACCGAAUGACCCGGCUUUCGUGUCUUUGCAGGGGAAAAUCAAGCGUUUCAAUAUGGGGCCAUAGUCUAAAGGCAGCAGACUGGCAACCAGGCUCCUCCAAUGCACAGUGGCAAGAUUGGUCUUGUCACACCCGGGCCUAAUUUUUUUCCCAGUCCGGCCCUGUUCGUCACCAAUACUUAACAUAAAAAAUGGAUAUAAACUUAAGUGCAUACAUAUUGCUGUAUUGGUACAGAUGUGUGCAAAGAGUUUAUGUUAUUUUGAGAUGCUGUGUAUUGUUUGAAUAAAUAUACAUUUUAAGGCUG